UACGUAGGGGGCUAGCGUUGUCCGGAAUCAUUGGGCGUAAAGCGCGUGUAGGCGGUUCGGUAAGUCCGCUGUGAAAGUCGGGGGCUCAACCCUCGGAUGCCGGUGGAUACUGUCGGACUAGAGUACGGAAGAGACGAGUGGAAUUCCUGGUGUAGCGGUGAAAUGCGCAGAUAUCAGGAGGAACACCAAUUGCGAAGGCAGCUCGCUGGGACGUUACUGACGCUGAGACGCGAAAGCGUGGGGAGCAAACAGG
rnacentral:rRNA from 1 species